rnacentral:rRNA from 1 species
UACGUAGGGGGCAAGCGUUGUCCGGAAUCAUUGGGCGUAAAGCGCGCGUAGGCGGCCCGGUAAGUCCGCUGUGAAAGUCGGGGGCUCAACCCUCGGAUGCCGGUGGAUACUGUCGGGCUUGAGUGCGGAAGAGGCGAGUGGAAUUCCUGGUGUAGCGGUGAAAUGCGCAGAUAUCAGGAGGAACACCAAUUGCGAGGGCAGCUCGCUGGGACGUUACUGACGCUGAUGCGCGAAAGCGUGGGGAGCAAACAGG